AGCGGCGUCAGGGCAAUAACAACAAACAUGUCGGACGCGAGACCUGACCACGUUUAUCAGCUCCGCAUUUUUUCAUAAUUUAAGCCCUUAAAUUGCAACACUUCUGGAAAAUUUUUGUUCGCCGAUGCUGGGAUCAAGUUCGGUCACCGAUUUACAAAAAUGAAAAAAAUCCUAGGAGUCAAAUUUUGCCGAGGAGACCCAGCAACGCGGAAUAUAUACCCACUGCUCAUCCCCUGUUUGUUAAAAUAAAAAAGAACCUUUUGAAGAACACCUCAGACAUCAGCGGUAUCGACAUCAGCCCUGCUUUGUGGAUAAUGUGCUUCAUCAAUUAGGUAGAAUGCGAUUUUAUUAAGAAAAUAAUUGUUAGAUCGAUCUAUAAAUUUAUAUUAUAAAUUAUUAUAUAACAUAUUCUAAUAAAUUUGUCAAAUUAAAUUCACUUAUAUACUUGAUUUAUAUAAAAUUUGGGGAAAUGAGUUUUUCAAACAAUAUGAAAAUAUAGUAAAUAGUUGGUUGUUGGUUCCAUUAAGCUUUAAUCCUUUUGUGUUUGGUUUAAAAUUUGAAUUAUUAUUGUAAAAUAUCAAAAUAUUCAAUGCUCAACAUAAACAAAUAUUCUUGACUUCUGACUGAUAUUAUUGUGUAAUUUAAGUUUGAAUAAUAAAAACAUAUUAUUUUUCCUGAA